CCUACGGGGGGCAGCAGUGAGGAAUAUUGGUCAAUGGACGCAAGUCUGAACCAGCCAUGCCGCGUGCAGGAUGACGGCUCUAUGAGUUGUAAACUGCUUUUGUACGAGGGUAAACCCCGAUACGUGUAUCGUGUUGAAAGUAUCGUACGAAUAAGGAUCGGCUAACUCCGUGCCAGCAGCCGCGGUAAUACGGAGGAUCCGAGCGUUAUCCGGAUUUAUUGGGUUUAAAGGGUGCGUAGGCGGUUUGGUAAGUUACGGGUGAAAAGUCGGGGCUCAAACCCGAAACUGCCUCUAAUACUGUUGGACUAGAGAGUAGUUGCGGUAGGCGGAAUGUAUGGUGUAGCGGUGAAAUGCUUAGAGAUCAUACAGAACACCGAUUGCGAAGGCAGCUUACCAAACUAUAUCUGACGUUGAGGCACGAAAGCGUGGGUAGCAAACAGGAUUAGAUACCCCUGUAGUC
rnacentral:rRNA from 1 species